rnacentral:rRNA from 1 species
UACGUAGGGUGCGAGCGUUAAUCGGAAUUACUGGGCGUAAAGCGUGCGCAGGCGGUCUUGUAAGACAGAUGUGAAAUCCCCGGGCUCAACCUGGGAACUGCAUUUGUGACUGCAUCGCUGGAGUGCGGCAGAGGGGGAUGGAAUUCCGCGUGUAGCAGUGAAAUGCGUAGAUAUGCGGAGGAACACCGAUGGCGAAGGCAAUCCCCUGGGCCUGCACUGACGCUCAUGCACGAAAGCGUGGGGAGCAAACAGG